rnacentral:misc_RNA from 1 species
UUGAAACACCCUCGCCAUGCUGCAUAACCGAUAUUGUUGACAGCUUCUCAGUGAUAGGUCGAAUGAUCGGACGGUUAGCUCGUUCGACUGGAAUUGACAAUCCUAGCAAACCCAACGACGGUCGCUCCUCUGAAGAAUCUUCUUCAUCUUCAGGCCUUACACAAGCUUUUCCUUUUCGCAGCCUUCGGAAAAGUUGUUCGGCCUCUUCUUCAUCUUCUCCUUCGUCUUGGUUAUAAUGAUUGGCAGGCAACCUAGACAUACCGGCUUCUUCCCCAUUGAACUGAUUUUG